rnacentral:rRNA from 1 species
CCAGAGAACUUUCCAGAGAUGGAUUGGUGCCUUCGGGGAACUCUGAGACAGGUGCUGCAUGGCUGUCGUCAGCUCGUGUUGUGAAAUGUUGGGUUAAGUCCCGCAACGAGCGCAACCCUUUAUCCUUUGUUGCCAGCGGUUAGGCCGGGAACUCAAAGGAGACUGCCAGUGAUAAACUGGAGGAAGGUGGGGAUGACGUCAAGUCAUCAUGGCCCUUACGAGUAGGGCUACACACGUGCUACAAUGGCGCAUACAAAGAGAAGCGACCUCGCGAGAGCAAGCGGACCUCAUAAAGUGCGUCGUAGUCCGGAUUGGAGUCUGCAACUCGACUCCAUGAAGUCGGAAUCGCUAGUAAUCGUGGAUCAGAAUGCCACGGUGAAUACGUUCCCGGGCCUUGUACACACCGCCCGUCACACCAUGGGAGUGGGUUGCAAAAGAAGUAGGUAGCUUAACCUUCGGGAGGGCGCUUACCACUUUGUGAUUCAUGACUGGGGUGAAGUCGUAACAAGGUAAGCGUAGUGCU